rnacentral:siRNA from 1 species
UCGAUUUUACGAGUGUGCACUGGU